UGUGAACUGUACAAUACUUGUCUUCAAGCAAUUGAAAUAUGUUUUAGUUGUUUGACAAAUAACACCAUUUAUUCACAACUAUGAAAUAUGUCUUAGCUUUGUAAAGAAAGAGAAGAUACAAUUAAGAA